rnacentral:rRNA from 1 species
UACGUAGGGGCCUAGCGUUGUCCGGAUUUAUUGGGCGUAAAGAGCUCGUAGGCGGUUCGUCGCGUCUGCUGUGAAAACUCGGGGCUUAACCCCGGGCCUGCAGUGGGUACGGGCAGACUAGAGUGCGGUAGGGGAGACUGGAAUUCCUGGUGUAGCGGUGAAAUGCGCAGAUAUCAGGAGGAACACCGGUGGCGAAGGCGGGUCUCUGGGCCGUAACUGACGCUGAGGAGCGAAAGCGUGGGGAGCGAACAGG